rnacentral:lncRNA from 1 species
GUGCCUAGUAUACAACUUAGUAUUUCUCUAAGUAUGGAUCACUUAGCUCACUUAAACUGCCAUGAACCUAAAAACUUUGUGGGUUGCAAGUGCUAGAACUAAGUCUAAGUUGUUGUGGGACAUGAGAUAGUAAGACAAGAGCUACUAUAAUAUUUUUCUAAGCAUGCAUGAUUAUCAGAGAUUUAUUCUUAAAAUGAUCAAAACCUUAAUUGUUCCUCAAUGGUGAUGAAUUCCUACCACAGCCAUAUCUACUUUACAUAAUUGCAACCUUUCCACAUAAGCUAUUUGCUUUGUGUUGAGUGUCGUCAAGUCUUGUUGACCCUUGUUAAGAGACUUUUCAUGCUCCUAAGAUAUAAAUCACGUACACACCACAUGUAUAUAUGCUGCUUCUACACUGGAAGUACGCAACCACAUGUAUUUCGCAUCCACUAAAUAGGUUGCUCCAUACUCUAAAUGUUAGAACAUCUCUCUAAGCAUUAUUUGGUAAAUGAGACAUCAAAAGGCUAGGAAAAAUGAAAUAAAAAGAUGGACAUGUGCAAGUCCACAGAAAAAGAAAAUUGAGCACAUGAAAGCUCAUAUAUAUAAAAAAAAGAAGAAAAAAAUGCUAGCCAUGUCUCAAUACAUAGAGAGUCUAUCAAAUAAAGGAGCAACCUAGUCCACCAUAUAUCACACUUGCACAUCUUGAUCUGGGAGUAUGACACUUCUCUUCAAGGAUCCGAGCUUUGACUUCGCAAUACAUGCAAAGUAAGUAUGCUAUCUCCUUUCAUCCCUACCUUGAACUCCACAUAAGCCUUUUAGAAAUAGGAUGAAAUAGAGAAGGCAACUCUUACCAUAUGCCUUGGUGAGGAAUCAUACACCAUUUGAGUGACAUGAGAGAACCAUAAGAGGAACAUUUAAGCUUUCUUUUGAAAAUAUCACAAAACCUCUGAUAUGAAACUUGCUAAGAAUGAGAAAGUUAGUGCUCAAGUCAAACUGUUCUGUCUCUCAACCACCUAAGACAAAGGAAAAUCCAUAAGCCCCAUAAGGGACUAAGGUAAUAGGGGUAAGUUUACAUAGCUAAAUUUUUCAUGCAAAGAGAAGAACUUUGUUGUACACAUGGUACUCUUGAAAUGUGAACAUAGUAACAAUACCUGAUCCACCGAGGCUAAGUUUGAUUGUUUGCUCGGGACGAGCAAAGGUUAAGCUUGGGGGAUCUUGUUGACGGUGGAUAUACCAUAGAAAUCCACAUACAAAACACCGUCAACAUGCCUCGGUUGCAAGGGGAAACGACAUGACAUGAACAUAUUUUAUCCAUAACUAGUUCCACUUGUACUCUUAGCUUGUUUAUGCAGGAACAACAAAUUCAAGACAUUAUUUGACAAAGCCAACAUCAGAAUCAUCAAGAGGAGAUCGAGGGGACAACAGGUGACACCCUGGGCUCACAGGGAGGGGGUCGCCCGACCCCUCUUUGGUGGGACCCAGGUGUGCCACCUAGUCCACCGACAUAAGGGACCCCUG